rnacentral:rRNA from 1 species
CAGUCGCCGCGGUAAUACGUAGGUGGCAAGCGUUGUCCGGAAUUAUUGGGCGUAAAGGGCUCGCAGGCGGUUUCUUAAGUCUGAUGUGAAAGCCCCCGGCUCAACCGGGGAGGGUCAUUGGAAACUGGGAAACUUGAGUGCAGAAGAGGAGAGUGGAAUUCCACGUGUAGCGGUGAAAUGCGUAGAGAUGUGGAGGAACACCAGUGGCGAAGGCGACUCUCUGGUCCGUAACUGACGCUGAGGAGCGAAAGCGUGGGGAGCGAACAGGAUUAGAUACCCCGGUAGUCCCUGUCUCUUAUAA